rnacentral:sRNA from 1 species
GAAGGUUCAAGAUCAGAUGACUAAGCAGCAUCAAACCAGAUUAGAUAUCAUAUCUGAAGAUAUUAGUGAGCUACAAAAGAAUCAAACUACAUCUGUAGCCAAAAUUGCACAAUACAAGAGGAAACUCAUGGAUCUUUCCCAUAGAACUUUACAGGUCCUAAUCAAACAGGAAAUUCAAAGGAAGAGUGGUUAUGCCAUUCAGGCUGAUGAAGAGCAGUUGCGAGUUCAGCUGGAUACGAUUCAGGGUGAACUAAAUGCACCUACUCAGUUCAAGGAUGCAGAAUCAUUUUGGAGCAGUCAGAUCUGAAGAAAGGUAUUACAUAGAUGCAGAUCUGUUACGAGAAAUCAAGCAGCAUUUGAAACAACAACAGGAAGGCCUUAGCCAUUUGAUUAGCAUCAUUAAAGAUGAUCUAGAAGAUAUAAAGCUGGUCGAACAUGGAUUGAAUGAAACCAUCCACAUCAGAGGUGGUGUCUUUAGUUGACAGUUCACAAACUUGUGUAAAGGUUUGUGAAAUGCAUCUUCUUACUGCAUCAGACCUUCCUUAAGAAUGAAACCGACCACAUGGAGGGAAAAAGAAAACAAUUCUUUCUUGGCUUGGUUUUUUGAGAAGUUUACUGACAAAUUACUGUUCAUCAAAUCUGAAAUAGUCACCUCACAGCUCUUCAAAGAAAACCUUUGAAAGAUUUAUAUCUAAAAGCUGUAUUUACUUUAAAAGAAGUGCAUAAUUACCAAAAUUGUAUGUA